rnacentral:lncRNA from 1 species
UAAUCCGAUCCAAACCGAAGUAUUUUGGGUAUCCAAAAUAGAUUUAUAUACUUAUAUAUAUAGGUAUAUUAAUUAUUUUUAGAUCUAAUAUAUAUAAAAACAUCCAGAAUAUAUAUGAUACUCUUAAGUUCAUUUAAAUACUUGAAAAUGUAUAAAAAUAAUCAAACAUAAAUAUCUAAAAUAGUUAAAAUAUACUCAAAAUUCCCAAAAUACUUAAAUAAUUAUUAAUUCUCUAUCCAAAUAUUUAAACCAAACCAAUGUAUAUGUUAAACUAGGUACUCUAACAUAUGUUAUUCAAAUUUAUAUGUAAUAUAUUAUAUUGUUUGCAGAUUUUUUUUAAAUUAAAGCAUAGAAUAAAUUUUAAAUUUUUUAAAAUAAUUUAAAUUGGUUAUCCAAAUCCGAGCCGAAUCCUCAAAGAUCUGAACUUAACACGAAACCCCAAACAGACCU